GCGCUGGUGGUGUAGAGGUUAAGAGCACGACCAUAUAUAGAGGCUAUAGUCCUCUAUUCUCUAGGCCGUCCCAGGUUUAAGUCCUGGACCCAGCGACCU